ensembl:lncRNA KMT2E-AS1 KMT2E antisense RNA 1
GAAGCUGCCCGGCGCCAUUUUGCUUGUGGGCUGCCGCCCGCCGUUGCCUCUCCGCGGAGGCUCGAAGAUAGCAAACUGGAGGCGGUGAGGGGGACGGAAUCUCUGUCUUUCUGACAACAGAUGCAUUCAACAAUCCACCGAAGGUUUGAGGAAGUGUCGGUAUUCGGUGGGACUGGUUCUUUCCCCCUUUCCCCCAGUGGCCCUCAAGUCUGGAUAUAGGUGAGCUUGGGCAUGCCAGUAUUGGGUGCACGAACAAGGACAGCAGGGCUUGGGAACGAACUCCCUCCCGUCACCCUCCGAAAGCGAUACACCUUCUCCCCCUCCCAAACAACCCCAGUCCCGUCUCCCCGUUCCUCUCCCCCUCCUCCCCCAGCCCAGUCUGGCCUCCAGCGCUGGGUGAACCCGGUUGGGGUGUCACUCGACGCCCACUAGGGGCUGAGGAGGCUCCAGUGCGCAGGCUCCGGGCACCGGAUAAAAGCGGAGCUGGCGAGUCUAGUGCUGUCUCGAUGGAGGAGCAAGAAACGGAAGAGGUCGGGGGGAGAAGCAGCCGGAAAAAUGCAGCCACCGUCAACGCCGCCUCCCUGCCACCGUGCUUCGGGGUAAAAAGCUGCCGUUGCCGUCGGUGCAGUUGCCGUCGCUGCCUCCUAUACUUCUCUUGGCCUCGGGGAAGGAUUUCCCCACCGGUGGGACAAUGUGCGGGGAGGGGAGUGGGAAUUCCUUUAUAUGGCGGUGAUUAAACGAGGGAGGGACAGACAGUGAUCUCGAAGAAAAAAGGGGGAGACCAAAGAAUAAAAGAAGGGUUUCCCCACUAAAAUGACACGGC